rnacentral:rRNA from 1 species
AUUGAACGCUGGCGGCAGGCCUAACACAUGCAAGUCGAACGGUAACAGGAAGAAGCUUGCUUCUUUGCUGACGAGUGGCGGACGGGUGAGUAAUGUCUGGGAAACUGCCUGAUGGAGGGGGAUAACUACUGGAAACGGUAGCUAAUACCGCAUAACGUCGCAAGACCAAAGAGGGGGACCUUCGGGCCUCUUGCCAUCGGAUGUGCCCAGAUGGGAUUAGCUAGUAGGUGGGGUAACGGCUCACCUAGGCGACGAUCCCUAGCUGGUCUGAGAGGAUGACCAGCCACACUGGAACUGAGACACGGUCCAGACUCCUACGGGAGGCAGCAGUGGGGAAUAUUGCACAAUGGGCGCAAGCCUGAUGCAGCCAUGCCGCGUGUAUGAAGAAGGCCUUCGGGUUGUAAAGUACUUUCAGCGGGGAGGAAGGGAGUAAAGUUAAUACCCUUGCUCAUUGACGUUACCCGCAGAAGAAGCACCGGCUAACUCCGU